rnacentral:rRNA from 1 species
ACGGGAGGCAGCAGUGAGGAAUAUUGGUCAAUGGACGGAAGUCUGAACCAGCCAUGCCGCGUGCAGGAAUAAGGCCCUAUGGGUCGUAAACUGCUUUUGUGGUGGAGCAAUAAGGCGUACGUGUACGUCGAUGAGAGUACAUCACGAAUAAGCAUCGGCUAACUCCGUGCCAGCAGCCGCGGUAAUACGGAGGAUGCAAGCGUUAUCCGGAUUUAUUGGGUUUAAAGGGAGCGUAGGCGGGUCUUUAAGUCAGUGGUCAAAGCGUGUGGCUCAACCAUACCACGCCAUUGAUACUGGAGACCUUGAGUGCACAUAAGGAUGGUGGAAUUCGUCGUGUAGCGGUGAAAUGCUUAGAUAUGACGAAGAACUCCGAUUGCGAAGGCAGCUGUCCGGGGUGUAACUGACGCUAAUGCUCGAAAGUGCGGGUAUCAAACAGGAUUAGAUACCCUGGUA